CCAACGGCCCUUUUAAGGGCCACCACUUUCUCCAAAGAGCUAUGG
rfam:Folsomia candida strain VT population Fcan01_Sc008, whole genome shotgun sequence.